rnacentral:rRNA from 1 species
UACGUAGGCAGCAAGCGUUGUUCGGAGUUACUGGGCGUAAAGGGUGUGUAGGCGGUUCUUUAAGUUUGGUGUGAAAUCUCCCGGCUCAACUGGGAGGGUGCGCCGAAUACUGAGGGACUAGAGUACGGGAGAGGAAAGUGGAAUUCCUGGUGUAGCGGUGAAAUGCGUAGAUAUCAGGAGGAACACCGGUGGUGUAGACGGCUUUCUGAACCGUAACUGACGCUGAGACACGAAAGCGUGGGUAGCAAACAGG